GAUGAACGCUGGCGGCGUGCCUAAUACAUGCAAGUCGAGCGAACGGACGAGAAGCUUGCUUCUCUGAUGUUAGCGGCGGACGGGUGAGUAACACGUGGAUAACCUACCUAUAAGACUGGGAUAACUUCGGGAAACCGUAGCUAAUACCGGAUAAUAUUUUGAACCACAUGGUUCAAAAGUGAAAGACGGUCUUGCUGUCACUUAUAGAUGAAUCCGCGCUGCAUUAGCUAGUUGUUAAGGUAACGGCUUACCAAGGCAACGAUGCAUAGCCGACCUGAGAGGGUGAUCGGCAACACUGGAACUGAGACACGGUCAAGACUCCUACGGGAGGAAGCAGUAGGGAAUCUUCGGAAAGGGGCGAAAGCCUGACGGAGCAACGCCGCGUGAGUGAUGAAGGUCUUCGGAUCGUAAAACUCUGUGAUUAGGGAAGAACAUAUGUGUAAGUAACUGUGCACAUCUUGACGGUACCUAAUCAGAAAGCCACGGCUAACUACGUG
rnacentral:rRNA from 1 species